UUCGCCAUCGCUUGUGAAAAAUAUUCAAAAAAUUGAAAUUUUUGCUAAUCGCACUGUAAUACCACAACCGGAAGUCGGAUCUGGAUCAACUUUUCGGGGACUUUUUGAAGAAUUUUAAAACCUUUUGUUUGCUUCUUAGUUUUUGAAAAUCGGUUAAGAAAUUUCCGAGAAAAUUGAGUGAUAUUAUUUGUCACAUACAUUUUGUAAUCUCGACGAGCAGACUCGAAUGGUAAUGAAACUUGGCCCUCCGGGCCUCGCUUGUCGGUUUACACAGCGAUUGCUAGCCUUUCUAUAUGAGAAAGACAAAAACAAAUUUCGGUCAUUUUAGUUUUAGAAUUUAUCUUCGAAAUUCAUUCAGAAUUUAGUUCCAUCAUUCAGAACCGAAAAGUCGGGCGGUCAAAGUUUGAAAUUUUUUUUUGAAAAAUUGACUUUCUGGGACUUUUAAAAUUGGAAAAAAAAACGAAACCCGACCAUCUCUAGGUAGAAGUUGCCGAAAACCGUCGCUGCCUUCCGUGUACAAGUUAGGUGGAUAAUAAAUGAACUUCCUAAUGUGAGGCCGGCCUUGAGUUCCGUACUUCUGCAGCGAUAUGUGAUGCUAUAAUCCCACUCCUGCUGGUGGUUGAAGCCCUGCUUUGCUCCUCAUGCACACCAAAACGGUAUGUGGUGGUAGAAAAUCGAUUCUGCUCGAUCACCGCGCUAUUAUACUCGGCACCAGAAGCCCAGCAAUGAAUGCAUCGUCACGAGUCACCAACAGGAAUUGGAUCUCCUGCUGUUUUUUGUUUUUUGCCUGUAAACUCUCUUUUCAGUAGGAACACGACAGAAAAAAAAUUGACUGAAAUUUCCAUCAUUUUUUUUCAUAAAAUCCUUUGAAAGAUAAAUUACAACGGCUUUAAAAACAAGCCGCGUUUAUCAGCGUUUUUUUUUACUGUGCUUCAUCAUCACCACGAACUGAUCCGUUCUUCGAUGGGUAUGGAAAAAGUGAUUGAAACCAUUUUUACUCGGAAAAAGGCACAGACUGGAACAAGUGCGACCUUUGCUAUUGAAACAAAAUAAAAAAAAAGUGCACGUAUUUUCCUUCCUCCUUAUUCUGCUACCAGUCGAACGGCUGUAUUUCGAGUGUUCACAGAAGACCGGACCCCACCUCCUGUGGGAGUAUUGCAUUGAUGAAUGUGACCUACUGAAACCGACGGUUGUGUGUUUGCCAGGCUAAUAAGAAUUGCAUGUCUGAAUGGUGAUAUCAGAAGAACAUUGAUUUUUUACCCGUCGUCUCGCAGGAAUUAUUGCCAGCGUGUCGGAAAUUGGAUUACAAAGAUGUGAAAGAACUUUUGUCUUUAUUGUAGUUAUGAAACUCUUUCAGUACACUUUUUGAAUGAGAAUGUGAUAAAAUUAUGAAAAAACAAUGUUCCAAUAAACCUUUUCUUCGAUAAUAAAGUAAAAACAUCGAGUCAAUUUAAAGGCAAAAUCAGAUAAUACAGCGCAACUUACAUGUACACUGUGUGCAGUCGGUGGAGUUUAUACAUAUAGUUCCAAAAUUUUCAUUUUUGGCAGUCGCUAAAACGUAGUUUUGGAUUUAUGUAGGGAAUUCAUUGAAGAGUAAUGUGAAGUAGAUUCAAAUGAAAGCCCCUACUGUCCCAUGGCCAGUCAAUGAAUUUCAUCCAGAUCCGACUUCCGGUUUCAGAGUUACGGAGAAAACUGUGCAAAAAAUAAAUGAAAAAGUACACUCGAUUUUCUCACAGACUGCUCGACCAAUUUUCACAAGCGUAUGUUCAAAUGGAAGGCCUUACAAUUUGAUAAAACCACAGACUAACAGACAUGACACUAUGAGUAAAUUCUCCUGAAAAAAAUUUUUCGUGGUACACUAGUUACACCUACAUUGAACUGCGCGAACUAUUUACUAUCGGUACACCCCUUGUGUUAUGUACACGUUUUUUUACUAGUUGGCUUCCCCCCGUUUGUCAACAAAGAUCAGCUGCUUGCAGCGAUGCCAGAUUUCAUCAAGCUUUGUAUAAUAUGUUACACAUUUGAAAUUAUGCCGACAAAAAUAGAAAAUUAUUCUCGGAGUGCCGAUUCAAAGUCAUCUAACGCUUGACGCAAAUUUCCAACUUCCUUUUAUCAUCGUCAUCCAAUCGUCCGAUAGACACAUAUUGAUGAUAAUAGAGUGAUCUCUCUCAUGCACACUCCCCGACCUUACACACGAUUAAAACUGAGAUGUAUUCAUAUCCACUUCAUUGUGGUUCAAACAAAGCCUUCGAACGGUUCGCGAUCAAGUGCCGGUGAACAGAGGCACUAAACGUGUCGAGUGCGGUUAGACAAAUUCCAAGCGAGAAACAAAUCCAAGAACACGCUACAUGAACUUAGACGGUGCAUGAAAACAGAUAAAGCCACUGGAAUACUCGCCUUUCACAGAUAAUAAGUGAAUCAUUCUCAAAGGUGCAAUGAAAAUCACGUGUGCGUCAACACUCACACGAUGCUAACCAUUUCGAUGUUCAUUGGGCAUAAAACGAAGUGAUACCUCGUGGCAAGACAGUGAACAGUUUCUUUCAUGUGCAUCAGAUCAAGAUAGUGACGUGAAGCAAACACAAGGCUCAAAUCAGAGCCUUUUAUGUUAGCCCGCUUCUGUUAAACCUGCGCUAGUCCGUUCUAUAGAGGCCAGUGUGCGUGAACCGUGCACCGAGAGACCAAGCUGUGAUCGCUCUGCUCAACAAGCAAAUUGUUCAACACACAAUGCGGUACGAAGAUCCAAACACGGCGUAGCUGAAUUAACGCGACAGUCUCCAGGAUCGCAUGCAUCGGAGGCGCGAGACGGCUCGGAACAAAUGCAUCUGAAGUGACAAACGGGAAUGUAGAGUCAUCAGUAGGAAAGGAUCGACACCGACGUGCUACAAACAGCGGUGAUUAAUAAGUGUAGGAACCUGAGGCCGGUGUACAUGAAUCAAUAGAAUGAUAGUUAACAGGAAUGGAUUUUAAUAGUUUUAAGCAGCAUGUCACGCAUUAGUUGAGUAAGCGCAUUGCAUGAUUAGAUAGGUUUUGGUGAGUCUUUAUGAAUUGUUGGAGUUACACCAUUCGCACCAGUGAAGAUAAAUAAACCAUUACAAAUAUUAAAAAAGAAUCGUCACAAUAAAUUAUGGAAUUACGUUUAUAUAUUUAACUUUUUUAGCGAUGUUUGAAAGGAACGAUUUAUUUUUCUCA